UACGUAGGGGGCAAGCGUUGUCCGGAUUUAUUGGGCGUAAAGAGCGUGUAGGCGGCCAAACAGGUCAGCUGUGAAAACUCGAGGCUCAACCUCGAGACGUCGGUUGAAACCGUUUGGCUAGAGUCCGGAAGAGGAGAGUGGAAUUCCCGGUGUAGCGGUGAAAUGCGCAGAUAUCGGGAGGAACACCAGUGGCGAAGGCGGUGGUCUGGGCCGGAACUGACGCUGAGGAGCGAAAGCGUGGGGAGCGAACAGG
rnacentral:rRNA from 1 species